GCAACAACAGCAAUCAACAUGUACUCCAAAUUAUAUGAAGUCCACAAGCAGUUCUGUUGCAAGAAAAGAGCAAUCUCAGGUAAGUUCAAGGAGCCCUCAAACUUAUUCACAAAGUUGUAGUAGAAAGAAUUCAAGUAACUCAAAAUUAGGCUCAGCUAGUUCUGUUAAUAAACCAAUAAGGAGUUUAUUAGCUAGAACUCCUAGUUUUAAACCAACAAGAGUUUCAUCAUGUUCCCCUAUUGUUAUGUAUGAUGAUUUCCAAGUAGAAAGGGCUACAUGUUCAUCAACUUUGAAAGAAGUUAAGUUUCCUGCAUACCUUGAACUUAGUCCUGGAGGAACAGAAUCAGAUGGAACUUCUGUUUUCAAGGUUUGUCCAUAUACAUAUUGCUCUCUUAAUGGUCAUCAUCACCCUCCUUUGCCUCCAUUGAAGUCUUUCUUGUCAGCAAGAAGGCGUACGUUGAAGAAUCAGAGGAGUUUCAAGUUGGGAUGUGUCUCUCCUCGUCGAGCUAAUCAUCGUGGAUUAAGCUUGAGUGAUUAUGUGCCAAAACAAAUAGAGAGUAGUACUACAGAGAAGGUAGCUCCUCUGACAAAUGAAGAUGAGAAGGAGUUUUUUGUCGAAAUUUAUAGCAAGGAAAAGGAAGAGACCAACUCGAUAGAUGAUUAUUACAUCAUCGAUUCUUCUGUCACUGAUCUUGUACCUUCAAAUGAAGGCAUUGAAGUGGCAGCAGAUGAUUCUGAGGACAAUCUUGAUCAAAAGAGAGAAGCCUUGUGUCCGAACGAAGGUGCUAGUGACAUGGUUCAAGAAGAAGUGGAGUUUAAAUCCUUGAGUAUGCAUACUGAAAUAGAGAUAGAACCAACAGCAGAAGAGCUGGAAUCUGAAGCUUCUGAUAUGGACUGGGAUGUUGAGAAGUACUAUGCAUAUAGCGAAGACGAAACUGGUUCAAUCUCAGAUGAUAUAGAUCCCAUCACAUUCGUUGAUGAUUCAGUUAUCAGCGAGGAGUUCACGGAAAAAUCAUCUAAUCCUGAACUUCUAUCUGACAACACUCUGGAAGAGUUCUUUGAUAAAGAAAGUAUCAUCUCUGGAACAAGUUAUGCUUAUGACGACUCCGAAUCUAU
rnacentral:misc_RNA from 1 species